GAAAUGUGCGGAAGGGGACAAGGAACACAGGAGAGGACGUUUGUCGUUUUUUGGGUGUGGGAGAUGUGGCGGAACGCGGGUGUAGAGGAAUAUAACCUACUGCGGGAUAUACACCUUUUUUCUGUUGGGGGAUAUAAAUUAUAGGGAAAACUUUAGGCGUUUAUAUCCGCGAUAUAGCAGCUUUGCGGUGUAAAACACAGGGGACCUUUGCGGGCCCUUGGCGCAGAUUAGUAGUGACGCAAGUGUCCGAGAUUAAGUUAGUUGUUGAGUUAAAGGUUCACCAAGGGCGAGCGAUCGGUAGUCUGUUCUAGAGGAAUGAUCAGCACACACUGGAACUGAGACACGGUCCAGACUCUACGGGAGGCACAGUGGGGAAUAUUGGACAAUGGGCGCAAGCCUGAUCCAGCCAUGCCGCGUGGGUGAAGAAGGCCUUCGGGUUGUAAAGCCCUUUUGUUGGGAAAGAAAAGCAGUCGAUUAAAUACUCGAUUGUUCUGACGGUACCCAAAGAAUAAGCACCGGGCUAACUUUCGGUGCCAGCAGCCCGCGGUAAAUACGAAGGGGUGCAAAGCCGGUUAACUCGGAAUUACUGGGCGUAAAGCGUGCGUAGGUGGUGAUUUAAGUCCGUGGUGAAAGCCCUGGGGCUCAACCUGGGGAAUUGCAGUGGAUACUUGGGUCACUAGAGUGUGUUAGAAGGGUAGCGGAAUUCCCGGUGUAGCAGUGAAAUGCGUAGAGAUCGGGAGGAACAAUCUGUGGCGAAGCGGCUACCUGGACCAACACUGACACUGAGGCACGAAAGCGUGGGGAGCAAACAGGAUUAGAUACCCCUGGUAGUCCACGCCCUAAACGAUGCGAACUGGAUGUUGGGUGCAAUUUGGCACGCAGUAUCGAAGCUAACGCGUUAAGUUCGCCGCCUGGGGAGUACGGUCGCAAGACUGAAACUCAAAGGAAUUGACGGGGGCCCGCACAAGCGGUGGAGUAUGUGGUUUAAUUCGAUGCAACGCGAAGAACCUUACCUGGUCUUGACAUGUCGAGAACUUUCCAGAGAUGGAUUGGUGCCUUCGGGAACUCGAACACAGGUGCUGCAUGACUGUCGUCGAGCUCGUGUCGUGAGAUGUUGGGUUAAGUCCCCGCAACGAACGCAAACCCUUGGUUCUUAAUUGGCAGCCACGUUAUGGUGGGAACUCUAAGGAAGAACGGCGGUUACCAACCGGAAGAAGUUGGGAUUACGUC
rnacentral:rRNA from 1 species